rnacentral:lncRNA from 1 species
UUCUUCUUCCUUGCGGGAUUUCAGGCAAGAUGACCAUUACCCUCGAUAUCACUUCUAUCUUUGCUUGCUAGUUGCUUUAUUUUAUCGCUAUCCUGCGCUACCUAUCACUUGUUUACCAUGCCUCCCAUAUUGCCAUGUCAGCCUCUAACCUUUUCACCCUUCCUAGCAAACCGUUGCUUGGCUAUGUUACCGCUUUGCUCAGCCCCUCUUAUAGCGUUGUUAGUUGGAGGUGAAGUUGAAGAUUGCUCCAUGAUUCCGAGUCUUAUUGGGUCUUCUUGGGAGAAGGUAUAUCCUUCGUUGAUCGCGAGAGCUUAUCAUGGGCUAAGUUGGGACACCCCUGCAGGGUAUAAUCUUUCGAAAGCUGUGCCCGCGGUUAUAUGGCAGAUGGGAAUUUUUUAAUGUCCGGUUGUAGAUAACUUGACACUUGACCUCUUUAAAAUGCAUCAACCGCGUGUGUAGCCGUGAUGGUCUCUUUUCGGCGGAGUCCGGGAAGUGAACACGGUUUUGGGUUAUGUUUGACGUAAGUAGGAGUUCAGGAUCACUUCUUGAUCAUUGCUAGUUUCACGACCGUUCCAUUUUCUCUCUUCUCGCUCUUAUUUGCGUAUGUUAGCCACCAUAUUUACUUAGUGCUUGCUGCAACUCCACCUCAUUACCACUUCCUACCUAUAAGCUUAAAUAGUCUUGAUCUCGCGGGUUUUGAGAUUGCUGAGUCCUCGUGACUCAUCAGAUACUAUCACAACAGUUGCAGGUGCCGAUGAUACCAGUGCAGGUGAUGCAACCGAGCUCAGAUGGGAGCUGAACGCAGAUCUUAGUUGUUUCUAUGUUUUGUUUCUUAUUGAUCAGUAGUGGAGCCCAGUUGGGACGAUUGGGGAUCUAGCAGUUGGGUUAUCUUCUUUUCUUUUGGCUUCGUCCGUAGUCGGACUAUGUGUGUACUCUGAAUGUUGUAUGAUUUAUUU